rnacentral:rRNA from 1 species
UACAGAGGCCUCGAGCGUUAGGCGGAAUCACUGGGCUUAAAGCGUGUGUAGGCGGAUCGUUAAGUACCUUGUGAAAUCCCCCGGCUUAACCUGGGAACUGCGUCUGAUACUGGAAGGCUUGAAUCCGGGAGAGGGAUGUGGAAUUCCAGGUGUAGCGGUGAAAUGCGUAGAUAUCUGGAGGAACACCGGUGGCGAAGGCGGCAUCCUGGACCGGUAUUGACGCUGAGGCGCGAAAGCCAGGGGAGCAAACGGG